rnacentral:rRNA from 1 species
CCUACGGGAGGCAGCAGUGAGGAAUAUUGGUCAAUGGACGAGAGUCUGAACCAGCCAAGUAGCGUGAAGGAUGACUGCCCUAUGGGUUGUAAACUUCUUUUAUAUGGGAAUAAAAUGUUCCACGUGUGGGAUUUUGUAUGUACCAUAUGAAUAAGGAUCGGCUAACUCCGUGCCAGCAGCCGCGGUAAUACGGAGGAUCCGAGCGUUAUCCGGAUUUAUUGGGUUUAAAGGGAGCGUAGGUGGAUUGUUAAGUCAGUUGUGAAAGUUUGCGGCUCAACCGUAAAAUUGCAGUUGAAACUGGCAGUCUUGAGUACAGUAGAGGUGGGCGGAAGUCGUGGUGUAGCGGUGAAAUGCUUAGAUAUCACGAAGAACUCCGAUUGCGAAGGCAGUUCACUGGACUGCAACUGACACUGAGGCUCGAAAGUGUGGGUAUCAAACAGGAUUAGAUACGCUUGUAGUC